CAAUGAACAUUAAUCAAUCCCAAAACAAAAUUAAAUUGCUGUAUAAAUUGCAUAUUCGUGGAGUAGGGCUAAAAAUAAUCGCCAAACAAUUUUGGGAAAACAACAAUGAGGGAGACAAAGUGAGUGUCCUAGUGGUUGCGAGCAUACCGGGAGCCAAUGGCAAGGCCGUGAUCCCUUUACUUAGCCCUUUAGAAAUUGAAGUGUUACAAGCAGGUAAUAAGUUUACUUCAUAGAUCGUAUAUUUGGUGCUAUUAUAUCGCUUAUUUGUUUCACUACGAUUUUACUGCACUAAACGUUUUACUUUUUUAAAUGAUAUACCUAAUUGUUAUUGUGGUGUGUUGUGUGCGUCAUUACAGCAGAGACAUCUCGUGAAAUCCGUCAGUCCGACGAUGAUCGAGUAAAGCAUUUGUUAGCCUUGUUAACGAUUCUUUGCAUCAACAACUGUUGUGUGGUUUUAACAGAAGUAAAUUCAGCAACAAUUGAAAAUGCUCUUUUCAGUAGCUGCGUCCCAAAUCGCGUACUUAUGCACUAUUUAUGACGUUUUGUAGUAUAAAUAGUGCAAGUACUGCGUUUACACUGAAAAUUCCAAAAAGAAAAAGUGCACUUUAAAUACCCGGAUGGUGCACUUAAAUAACCGAAAAAAUUAAGUCUAGAAUGUUGGACACUUUAUGCACUCAACGGUCGCAGCUUUUUUACGUAGCGGAAGGGGAGGAGCUAUCGGGCGCUUAAGAUUCAUUAGAAAAUGGCAGACGACACUCCGAUAUCGUACAAAUGUAAGUCGAUUUUUUUUUUCUAUCAGUCUACUUUGUGUGGUUUAAUUUAAAGAUUCACCAUUAUAUCUACAUAUAUUAUGUUGAAAUUUGUUAUUUACGAACUUUGUCUUAUCAAUCAUCAUAACUUCAAGUGUCAUGCUUCGGAUCCUUAAUAUAGAAACCCUCUUCAGUUUAUUUUCUUAAUACUUAAACGCUUAAAAAUUAAUAUAAUGUCCAUUGAUAGGCGUUAUUCAACAGUAGUGUUUUGUAAAAUCUCUCAUAGGGACCGAAGAAGAUACGUGCAAUCUUAUUAAUUGUCGCGCUGCUAACAACGAAUUGUUUACCGCAACCAAGGAUAUGAGGCAUUUAUCUCCCAGUAUGGCUUGGAGGGGAGUAUUACCCCAUCCUGGGCCAAGAAAAAAUGGGAGAACCUUAAACAAAAGUAUAAGGAUCUAAAGUGCCCCAAAACAGGAGUCAGCACUGAGGGGGGUGAGAGUACUGCUGCAUCCUGGAAGUGGUACAGUUUGAUGGAUGAGUCAGUUGGGGGCAGGCCAUCUGUGACUCCGCCUGUCCUCAUUGGCUCAUCCUCCCAGGAUGCAGUAGUGUGUUCACCUCCCUCAGUGUUGACUCAUGAAAGGAGCGAGGAGCCUAGAGUCACCCCCAAAAGGAGGACGAUAGAGGCCAAUGAUUCCCUAUAUGAGCUCGUCCAAGAGAUGCAGGAGAGGGAUGAAAGGCUAGAAAGAGAAAUGAUGGAGAGGGAGGACAGAAGAGAGAGAGAGAGGGAGGAGAGGCGAGAACGAGAGGCUCUGCUGAGGGAAGAGAGGAGAGACCGGGACAUGGCUGUGCGAGAUAGUCGCUUUUUGGCUAUUCUGGAGAGAUUAAUCAAUAAGUAGUGAGAUAAAAUAAAAUAAAAAAAGAGAUAUAGUGAGUAAAAACAGUGAGAAGUUUUAAUAAAGAAAUUCUACAAAUUAAUACAUAUGAAUAAAUAUAUUAAGAAAUUUGUGACUUACAUUUGUAAGUAAAU